UACGAAGGGGGCUAGCGUUGCUCGGAAUCACUGGGCGUAAAGCGCACGUAGGCGGAUCUUUAAGUCAGGGGUGAAAUCCUGGAGCUCAACUCCAGAACUGCCUCUGAUACUGGGGAUCUUGAGUCCGGAAGAGGUAAGUGGAACUGCGAGUGUAGAGGUAAAAUUCGUAGAUAUUCGCAAGAACACCAGUGGCGAAGGCGGCUUACUGGUCCGGUACUGACGCUGAGGUGCGAAAGCGUGGGGAGCAAACAGG
rnacentral:rRNA from 1 species